UACGGAGGGGGCUAGCGUUGUUCGGAAUUACUGGGCGUAAAGCGCGCGUAGGCGGAUCUGCAAGUCGGGGGUGAAAUCCCGAGGCUCAACCUCGGAACUGCCUUCGAUACUGCGGGUCUCGAGUCCGGGAGAGGUGAGUGGAAUUCCUAGUGUAGAGGUGAAAUUCGUAGAUAUUAGGAAGAACACCAGUGGCGAAGGCGGCUCUCGUGGGACGGUACUGACGCUGAGACGCGAAAGCGUGGGGAGCGAACAGG
rnacentral:rRNA from 1 species